CCCUAUCCGCACACUGGCGGUUCAAAAUCAAAUCAUGUUCGAGCACAAGAGAUGGUUCCACCAAGUGCAAUUGAUGCCUGGACUGCUGCUCACAUAAAAAAGGAUGGCCAAUUUGUGAAUAAUACUGCAAAAUCUCUCGAUGAUGAGUUAAAAGAAGAGAGAAGGCAAUGCAUCGAGAAUGGAGAAAUUGUCAAUGAAGUUAAAAUUAUGGAAAAUGUCCUAGGAAAGAGGGCUGGUCGUGCCAAAG